CUUUUGUAGAAGAGAAUACAGGGGAAGAGGUGGAAAAUGAAUUAACUAAGGGCCCAGAAAUCUGGGUUCUAGUGCUGGCUUUACUGGUGAGGUAGAAGGGGCAGCAUUGCCUUUCUGAACCUCAGAUUCCUCAUCAGUAAAACUGGGGUACCAUAUCCACCUCACAAGGUUUUUUGAGGAUCAAACGAAUAAAUGGACAAGAAAGGCUUGUGUAAAAUGUAAAGAGUGAUGCAAACGUGAGUUGCUGUUGUGGAUAAGACUGUGCCCAGGUGGAUGGAGGUCAGGCUGGUGCAUUCCACUCAGGGGGUCGCAGGACCCUGAGGCCCACCAGGACCUGUAAGCUUGGGCUGGGUGUCUGGCAAAACCCCACGGAUGCUACCCAACUGGCAGGGAAGUGGGGGAAUGAGCCUGCCCACAGUGUCUGUGCCCAGGCCCUUGCCUGGACACUUAAUAUGCACCCAACAAAUGCUUGCUGAGUGAAUCAAUAAAUGCUGUUUCAGAGAAGACAUCGCAGAAAAGAAUAAGAGCAAUGGCACGUGAGACAUGUCAAUGGGAGAAGUGAGAGACUGCGCGGCAUAAGGUAAACAGGACAAGCUUUGGAGCCAGAGCGACCUGGUUCAAAGAUUCAGUUUCUUCAUCUGCAAAUGGGGAUAAUAACAGUCCCAGGUGUUUGCCAUGAGGAUUCGAUGAGAUCAUGUCUGUGAAGUGGCUGGUCUUCCAAGGGCACCCAGUAGAUCGUAACAGCGAUGAUUACUAUGAUUAAGAUAGGAAGGUGCUUCCUUCCUCUUGGGAGAGACUAUUUAGAGGCUUCCAGCCCUUUGCCUCCAGUAAGGCAGGAUGGCCUCGCUCCUCCUUUCCCCUCCCCACCCUCUCAUUGGAUCAGGAAGGGUCCGACGUUCUAGGUGCUUUGCCUGGCGGGCCCUAUGGGAGCAAUGGGUGGGGAUCGUGAUCCUCUGGAGGAAUCCAGAGCUCCAGCCCGGCUUCAGAGGAAGACUCAUCGUUUGGGGAGUCAAUGCCUGGCCAUCAAACAGACCACUUGUAAAGGAAUAGCCAGAAUUUUCAAGGGGGCUGAAGCAGAAGAGCGAAGAGGAGGCAAUGGGAGAUCUUGUUUCCUUGCUAAGGAGCAGGCGGCGAUACCCGAAGCCCCUUCCCAGGCUACUUUCAAAGGCUCCGAGUUCUAGUGGUCUCAUCUCACACCUGGACUACCGCAUUAGCCUUCUGACUGAUUUCCCAGCCCACACCCUCUGCUCAGAAAACCUCAGCUUCCUCAUUUCCAGGAGGAUCAAGCCCAGACUCCUUACUUUGGGGACGUGGGUUCGAUCCCUGGUUGGAGAACUAAGAUCCCCCAUGCCGUGGGGCAGCUAAGCCCAUGCACCGCAACUACUGAGCCCAGGUUCUCUGGAGCCUGCGUGCCACAACUGGAGAGCCUGCACGCUGCAACUACUGAGCCUGCAUGCCACAACUAGAGAGAAGCCUGUGCGCCACAAGUAGAGAGAAGCCUGCGCUCCACAACGAAAGAUCCCACGUGCUGCAACUAAGACCCGAUGC